AUUGAACGCUGGCGGCAUGCCUUACACAUGCAAGUCGAACGGCAGCACGGGAGCAAUCCUGGUGGCGAGUGGCGAACGGGUGAGUAAUAUAUCGGAACGUGCCCAGUAGUGGGGGGAUAGCCCGGCGAAAGCCGGAUUAAUACCGCAUACGACCUGUGGGUGAAAGCGGGGGAUCGCAAGACCUCGCGCUAUUGGAGCGGCUGAUAUCAGAUUAGCUAGUUGGUGGGGUAAAGGCCUACCAAGGCGACGAUCUGUAGCUGGUCUGAGAGGACGACCAGCCACACUGGGACUGAGACACGGCCCAGACUCCUACGGGAGGCAGCAGUGGGGAAUUUUGGACAAUGGGCGCAAGCCUGAUCCAGCCAUGCCGCGUGUGGGAAGAAGGCCUUGGGUUGUAACCACUUUGUCAGGAGAAACGGCCUUUUCUAAUACAGGGGCUAAUGACGGUACCUGAAGAAUAAGACACCGGCUAACUACGUGCCAGCAGCCGCGGUAAU
rnacentral:rRNA from 1 species